AUUGAACGCUGGCGGCAUGCUUUACACAUGCAAGUCGAACGGUAACAGGCCGCAAGGUGCUGACGAGUGGCGAACGGGUGCGUAAUGCAUCGGAACGUGCCCAGUCGUGGGGGAUAACUACUCGAAAGAGUAGCUAAUACCUCAUACGAUCUAUGGAUGAAAGCGGGGGACCGUAAGGCCUCGCGCGAUUGGAGCGGCCGAUGUCAGAUUAGGUAGUUGGUGGGGUAAAGGCUCACCAAGCCAACGAUCUGUAGCUGGUCUGAGAGGACAACCAGCCACACUGGGACUGAGACACGGCCCAGACUCCUACGGGAGGCAGCAGUGGGGAAUUUUGGACAAUGGGCGCAAGCCUGAUCCAGCAAUGCCGCGUGCAGGAAGAAGGCCUUCGGGUUGUAAACUACUUUUGUACGGAACGAAACGGCUCUGGUUAAUACCCGGGGCUAAUGACGGUACCGUAAGAAUAAGCACCGGCUAACUACGUG
rnacentral:rRNA from 1 species